rnacentral:lncRNA from 1 species
AGGCCCUACAAGUGCGGGGAGUGUGGAAAAGGCUUCAGCCAGAGCUCGAACCUACACAUCCACCGGUGCACCCACACAGGAGAGAAGCCGUACCAGUGCUACGAAUGCGGGAAAGGCUUCAGCCAGAGCUCAGACCUUCGAAUCCACCUCAGAGUGCACACUGGGGAAAAGCCCUACCACUGUGGCAAGUGCGGGAAGGGCUUCAGCCAGAGCUCCAAACUCCUCAUCCAUCAGAGAGUCCACACGGGAGAGAAGCCGUAUGAAUGCAGCAGGUGUGGGAAGGGCUUCAGCCAGAGCUCAAACCUCCACAUCCACCAGCGGGUUCACAGGAAGGACCUUCACUAAGUAACAUGAGCCCCCCUCGGGAGUUCAGAAUACUUUUAUUGUAAGAAAAAUAUUUUUCAUGGCUGAGUGUGCAUAUCAGAGGUAGAGUGCUUGCCUAACAUGUAUAAAGCCCUGAGUUUGAGCUCUAGUACCCCACCACAGUUUCCACCUUAAUACUUUGUGCAUGUAGGAAUGUGUGUUCAUGCAGAGAGGGGUACAUACAUGCAUUGUGCUGGUGUGUGCAUGCACGUGUGCACGUGUGUGGAGGUCAGGUGCGCAGAUGCUUACCACGGGUUUUUUUGUUUUGUUUUGUUUUGUUUUUUUUUGAGACUGGAGAUCUGUCUGUUAGUCAUGGCAUGGAAUGUCACCAAGUAAGCCAGGCCAGAGUCCCAGGAUCUAUCUGUCUCCACUUCCCACCUCACCAUGGCUAGGAUUACAGGUGUGUGCCACCUCACUCUCUUACAUGGAUUCUGUCUCAAGCUUUCUAGACAAGAACUUUGCUGACUGAGGCAUCUCCGAGGGCCCCAGUUUAAUACAUUCAACUCUUACCUUUGCAUUCCUCAAAGGAAAGAAGUAGUAAGGGUUGUUCACAUAUAGCCCCUCACGGAAGACACCAAUCCUUCAUUUACAGCACCCGAGUACCAGCUCUUCUUAUGUUAUACAAGGAAUGGACUGUCCUGGCUCCUCCCUGGGUAGAGUAUAUAUUGCAAUUCUGCUAGUGUUAUUCGAAGUAUAUUCCUCAAUUUUACCUGCAAGAACUUUGUGUUUUUCCAAGCACAGCAUGGUUCCCUUCUCUGAGAAACUGGAAUUCAUGUUUCCUCUGAAAUGAUGUGCCUUGUUUUUCAUAUUCCUUUUAAGUCCUAAAUAGCCCUCUUUAACCUAUGAUCACACAAUGUGUCCAUUCGAGGGCGGGGUGGGGGAGCUGGGGGUAUAACGGCCAUGGCGAUCUGUUGUGUUUAAUACAAAAAUGUACGCUCACGCUAUAGGACGUGCUUCCCCACAUGCUACUGUGAUGGGAAGUCCACUCAGUCCCUCCUCCCUGGCAGCUUUCAGGAAUGCGAACGAUCAGUUUUUACCGAGUGAAGUUAGUUUGUCGGGACUACUUCCAUAGGACAAACAA